rnacentral:rRNA from 1 species
AGUGAACGCUGGCGGUAGGCCUAACACAUGCAAGUCGAACGGCAGCACAGUAAGAGCUUGCUCUUACGGGUGGCGAGUGGCGGACGGGUGAGGAAUACAUCGGAAUCUACUUUUUCGUGGGGGAUAACGUAGGAAAACUUACGCUAAUACCGCAUACGACCUACGGGUGAAAGCAGGGGAUCUUCGGACUUUGCGCGAUUGAAUGAGCCGAUGUCGGAUUAGCUAGUUGGCGGGGUAAAGGCCCACCAAGGCGACGAUCCGUAGCUGGUCUGAGAGGAUGAUCAGCCACACUGGAACUGAGACACGGUCCAGACUCCUACGGGAGGCAGCAGUGGGGAAUAUUGGACAAUGGGCGCAAGCCUGAUCCAGCCAUACCGCGUGGGUGAAGAAGGCCUUCGGGUUGUAAAGCCCUUUUGUUGGGAAAGAAAAGCAGCAGGUUAAUACCCCGCUGUUCCGACGGUACCCAAAGAAUAAGCACCGGCUAACUUCGUG